rnacentral:lncRNA from 1 species
CAAUUUGGUUUUUAUUGGGCUCUGUUGAGUGUUUUGGAGGUUUUUAGCAUACAUUUAUAUUUACUUCAAUGGAUACGAUUUUUGCAAGCAACUCGGUGUAAUUUUGUUCAUGUUUCUAGACCAGACUUGUGUAGAGUGUAGAGAGGAGAAUAUUUCCAAGGCCUGAGUAUGGAUGGAACACUAAGGCUAUGUUUGGUUCCCGGAAAAUGCUAAGGAAAGGAAAAAAAAUCUUGUGGAAAAUUAUUUUCUUUAGUUUGGAUGAGACGGAAAGUAUGAUGGAAAAAAAAUAUAAAGGAAAAUGUUAAAGAAAAUAUCAUGUUGUUUUCCCUACUAUUUUCCUUAAAAAAUAAUGAGGAAAAGAGAAGGGAAAAUUGGGGAAAAUUUUAUCGGGGCUCGUGGUAUGUCGUCACCGAGCAUCUCCUCCGUCUCUCUCACCCCUGUCUAGUUAGCUCCUCCACCCUGGCCUUCAGCUCUGUCUCGAACUGCUCUAGCUCCGCCACCUUGGCCCUCAGGCAGGCGAUCUCUUCUGCGGCAGCGUGGAUCUAGUCCACCAUACGCUUCUCCUCCCUGUGCCAAGCUUCGCGAUGGUCGGCGAAGAUUUCAACAACUCGGGCGUUCUUCAAAUCAAGUUCCCAUGGAUGAAAUGAAUUCUUCAAAAUAGAUGGUUAUUUUCUUUUCCAAAUUUUCUCAUCUCCCAUUGUUUUUCCCAUGCUUUUCUCAAUAAAAAACUAUAGUGUCGGCCUAAUUUACCAAACCCUCAAUCCACUUAAGUUCAUCACCAUCAUUUGGCUACCUGGAAAUGAGCUUUCCCCUCUCCUUCUCCAAAUCUCCUCACUCCCAUUCUUUACCCUAAUUUUUUCUCACGAGACAAACAGAGCAUCAAUACAGAUAUUUCAAAGAAAAGAGAUACCUGAUUAUUCGGUAUAAGGGCUCAGGAAAUUUUGCAGGGUUUCGAGCGAAACUUCCAAAACAUCUCAGAUGGGCGGCGUUAUAAAAAGAAAGUAGAGGUGAAAUCUCGGAGAUCAACGAGCGUUUUGAAUGAAACGCUUUCAUUUUCUGUUCAGUUUUCGGACAGUCGAACUGUAAAAUAGUUGAAAGCGAGUUUCAAUGGAAGAGCACAUGCCCCUUGUAAACCCACUCUAUUGGCCC